rnacentral:rRNA from 1 species
UAAGGAAUAUUGGUCAAUGGACGCAAGUCUGACAGAGCGACGCCGCGUGAGCGAAGAAGGUCUUCGGAUCGUAAAGCUCUGUUGUUAGGGAAGAAGAAGCGCCGUUCGAACAGGGCGGCGCGGUGACGGUACCUAACGAGAAAGCCCCGGCUAACUACGUGCCAGCAGCCGCGGUAAUACGUAGGGGGCGAGCGUUGUCCGGAAUUAUUGGGCGUAAAGCGCGCGUAGGCGGCUUUGCAAGUCGGGUGUGAAAUCCCCGGGCUUAACCUGGGAACUGCAUUCGAGACUGCAUUGCUAGAGUAUGGGAGAGGGAAGUGGAAUUUCCGGUGUAGCGGUGAAAUGCGUAGAUAUCGGAAGGAACAUCAGUGGCGAAAGCGACUUCCUGGACCAAUACUGACGCUCAUGUGCGAAAGCGUGGGGAGCAAACAGGAUUAGAUACCC